rnacentral:lncRNA from 1 species
CAUAUACAUAUACAUAUACAUAUAUAUGUACAUGUACAUAUACAUAUACAUAUACAUAUACAUAUACAUAUACAUAUACAUNNNNNNNNNNAUAUACAUAUACAUAUACAUAUACAUAUACAUAUACAUAUACAUAUAUAUGUACAUGUACAUAUACAUAUACAUAUACAUAUACAUAUACAUAUACAUAUACAUAUACAUAUACAUAUAUAUGUACAUGUACAUGUACAGUUAUAUUCAAAUUGCCAGUAUCGAUUUUUUUUUUUUUUUUUUUUUUUUUUUUUCUUAAUUUUGUAAAAAAAUAGUUAACAUUUUUAUGAACAUUUUUUUAAAACGUUUUAUGAAGGGUUUGAUAAACUGUUAAAAAAAAAAAAAUAAAAAGAAAUGUGAGGGAAUUACUUCAAAAAGUAACUAGGUUAUUGUGACACGUUAACAAAUUCAUAAAACAUAAGUUCAUAUGUGAUUAUACAUGUAUAUAUAUAUAUAUAUAUAUAUAUAUAUGUAUGUAUGUAUAUAUAUUUAUACGUGUGACAUAGCCAUUUAAGUACAACAAACACAACAAAGUAUAACAUAAGCGGACGGAGCGGAAAAUGGAGAACACGCAAUAUUAUAAUAGAUUAGUGGAAUUAAAUACGUUAGCAGAAAAUAUUUUUUGUCACAAUAAACAAUUAUUAUUUAUUGAUAAUAAUUUGAAUGGUAUUAGAUCAACAAAAGGUGGGUAUAGAAGAAAUGAAAUAAAAAAAAACGUUGGUAAGUUAAGUACUUAUAACAAUCUAUUCAUAACGUUGGAUAAAAGUCAAACAAAUAUUUAUUUAGAUCAGGUAGAAAAUAUUCUUAUUGAGAAAAGGGAUAAACUAUUGAAAAGCAGAAAAACAUUAAUUAACGAACUUAUAAAAUUAAAUCCAAGUGUUACUGAAAUCCCUCUUGAAGAGGCCAAGUUUUUAUUAAAGCAGUAGUUAAAAAAAAGAAAAGAAAUGAAAAGAAAAUAUUUACAAGCGUAAGUAGUGUGUAUAUAUACAUAGGAAGACAUCCUUUUAAAAAAUAGACAAAAAAAAAAAAAUAUAUAUAAAAUACUGUUAAUCUAUUUUUAUUAGAGAAUAGUAUUAUGUAUUUUACAAAAAAAAACAAAAAAAACAUAAGUAGAUUAGUAAAUUACAAAAACAACAAUGUUAACAUGAAAUAAAAUAACUUGAACAAACUCA